UACAGGGGGUGCAAACGUUGCUCGGAAUUAUUGGGCGUAAAGCGCGCGUAGGCGGCUACUUAAGUCGGAUGUGAAAGCCCUUGGCUCAACUGAGGAAGUGCACCCGAAACUGAGUGGCUAGAGUACGAAAGAGGGUCGCGGAAUUCCCGGUGUAGAGGUGAAAUUCGUAGAUAUCGAGAGGAACAUCGGUGGCGAAGGCGGCUUUCUGGACGGUGACUGACGCUGAGACGCGAAAGCGUGGGGAGCAAACAGG
rnacentral:rRNA from 1 species